UACAGAGGUCUCGAGCGUUGUUCGGAUUCAUUGGGCGUAAAGGGCGCGUAGGCGGCGGGGUAAGUCUGGUGUGAAAUCUCGGAGCUCAACUCCGAAAUUGCACUGGAUACUGCUCUGCUAGAGGGCUGGAGAGGAGAUCGGAAUUCACGGUGUAGCAGUGAAAUGCGUAGAUAUCCGGAGGAACACCGGUGGCGAAGGCGGCUUCCUGGACCGACACUGACGCUGAGGCGCGAAAGCUAGGGGAGCAAACGGG
rnacentral:rRNA from 1 species